CGGGGCACAAAGUAACGUGGGGUUAAAUGUAACACUGACUUUUUCCCUAUUUGCAGGGGGUUGAUCGAGGCAUGCUAUUGGCCAGUUAAUCACAUUACUAUGAGACGGUGUUCCAAAAA